rnacentral:tRNA from 1 species
CAGGGAGACAAACCUGAUUGUGAUGUCUGAGUGUUUUUAAUCUCAGGCCAUGAUCCUGUCAUCUCUAGGUCGAUCGGUACCUCAGGGUUGAUCCAUAGAAGACUUGAGUGAUCAAGGAUUGCUGUGGGAUGAACUUUCAGUUUCUAAACGUUGUCUAGGUCACCCCAUGCGGCUGACUUCCUGGGCCAUUAGCUUAGGUGGUUAGAGCGCACCCCUGAUAAGGGUGAGGUCCCUGGUUCAAGUCCAGGAUGGCCCAUUCAUGUGCGAUGCAAGCGAGGGCUUGUGUUGUCACGUCGAGAUUAUUGGGGGUUUAGCUCAGUUGGUAGAGCGCCUGCUUUGCAAGCAGGAUGUCAGCGGUUCGAGUCCGCUAACCUCCACUGACCAUCCCUGACUAGGAAGCAGAACGAAGGGUGAACUUGAUUGGUUGACGCUGAGAGAUUUCAGCCUCAGCUCAUUCCAUCACUGACGCCGUCUUUGAAGACGGAGUCAAGAGAUCGGUUGUGCUGAUGCUGGAUUCAGCAAGUGGGCCGCGAGAGCGGCUUGUUUGCAUGAGAUUCAGCAGAACCUUGACAACUGCAAAGGUGAGUCUGGAAAGACAAAGCAUCUCAUAGAUGAGAUCUGAUCUGGUUUGAGCUUGCACAAGCUGGAUAGGAUCGAGAUUCUAUUUUUGAGUGUCGAGGCCUUCUAGCGUUCUUCUCUGGUCGCCGAGAUCAGAGGAAUUUGAUCCUGGUUUCAAACUGAAGCAGCAAUGUUUCAAGUGAAGCUUGAGAGAAUAGGCCUCAACAGCCUGAAGCGUUAGGAGGAUUAAUU